rnacentral:rRNA from 1 species
CCUACGGGUGGCUGCAGUGAGGAAUAUUGCGCAAUGGGCGAAAGCCUGACGCAGCGACGCCGCGUGAAGGAUGAAGGUCUUAGGGCUGUAAACUUCUGUUAAGGAAAAUUCGGUACCGCUAAAGAAAGCACCGGCUAACUUCGUGCCAGCAGCCGCGGUAAUACGAGGGGUGCAAACGUUAUUCGGAAUAACUGGGCGUAAAGGGUGCGUAGACGGUUUGUUAAGCUUGUUGUUAAAUUCCCCGGCCUAACUGGGGACCUGCAAUGAGAACUGGCAUACUAGAGGAUGAGAGAGAAGAGUGGAAUUUCCGGAGUAGCGGUAAAAUGCGUAGAUCUCGGAAGGAACAUCGAUGGCGAAGGCAGCUCUUUGGCUCAUCCUGACGUUGAGGCACGAAAGCGUGGGGAGCAAACAGGAUUAGAUACCCUUGUAGUC